rnacentral:lncRNA from 10 species
CUUUGUCGGCCUUUAGUUCACAACUGAAAAGAUAGUUCUGGGCCUCAGGGGGCUCACGUCCAUGUCCAUCGAAUCUUCCAUCAGGUGGCGGCACACACUUAGGUGGGAGAGAAAGCAGACGGAGAUAAACGACCACUGCUCAAGAGAACAGCCAUACAGGAUGGAAUCACGCCAGUAGUAUUGUUCCUGUGUGUCUCUUCAUAUAGUCUUCUCUCUGUGCCUGCAUCCAAAUUUCCUAAUUUUAUAAGGACACCAGCCAUUGUAUUAAGGCCCACCCUACUGACCUCAUCUUACCUUGACUAUAUCUGUAAAGACCUCAUUCCCAAAUAAGGUCACAUUCUGAGAUAUGUGGCCUUAUGGAUUAGGACUUCAACAUAUCUUUUUGAGGGGACCACAGUUCAAUCUGUAACAUAGGUGGCAAUUAUGAAAGUUUAUGACAUUUAAAUAUACAAUUAUCUUUAGAAGUGAGUCAUGAGUUACCCUGAAAUUAUUACCUUCUGGCCUUUCAACAUACUUUCAUAGAUUGCUAUCUUAUGCAGUGGCCAAGUGUGUUCCCCAUUUAAUUAUUAGACUUAAUUAGCUGCUUUAUCACUUCACUGCUGUCUGAAGUACACAGUAGAAAUAUAUGACAAAGUAUGAUACAUUUCUGGGAUGAUCUAAGACCUUGGACCUGAUUCUCCACGAUGGUAUCUCUUUUAUUCCUUGGUGUUCACCAAUGUCUGCUUUUCUGCUCUUGUUUUGUGGGAUAUUUCUCUAGGAACUGGCUUUUAGUCUAGCUUUGCUGUCAUUCCACUUUGAAACUUGAUAUGGUUUGGCUGUGUCCUCACCCAAAUCUCAUCUUGAAUUGUAGCUCCCAUAAUCCCCACGUGCCAUGGGAGGGACCUGGUGGGAGGUAACUGAAUCACGCGGGCAGGUUUUCCCAUGUUGUUGUGAUAGUGAGUAAGUCUCAUGAGAUCUGAUGGUUUUAUAAAGGGCAGUUCCCCUGCACAUGCUCUCUUGCCUGCCACCAUGUAAAACAUGCCUUUGCUUCUUCUUUGCCUUCUGCCAUGAUUGUGAGGCCUCCCCAACCAUGUGGAACUGUGAGUCCAUUAAACCUCUUUUUUUUUUUUUUUUUUUAUGUAAAUCACCCAGUCUUGAGUAUGUCUUUAUUAGCAGCGUGAUAAUGGACUAAUACAAACCUCAUAUCAAGUUUAGGUUCUAUUUGAUAGACAUGUAGAUCAAAGAGGGUAUAAUUAUCUUUAGUAAGCAAAACUAACAGCAUAAUCCUAGACAAGAACUUAUAGAAAGUUCAUAUCCAUAUAUAUAUAUAUCCCAUGGUUGAGAGUGCUCACAAAAAGGAACCAUUACAUCCUUCUUGCCUAUACUUACAGAUAUCAUACAUUACCUUUAAUACCUUAUUUUCUACAAAUUAAAAUUUUAACCAAGACUUAAUUGUCAAGCAUUGGCAGUGGAGAGCCCAGCUACAUUAGUGUACCAAUGAUCAUUGUGGAGGUUUAAAUUUCCAGCCACUUUGUUUUAUGCAAGAGCAUUAUUUUCUUAUUUUGAUAAUAUACUUUACACUUAUUUUUAAAAAUAAAAAUAUUUAUUUGGAAAAUAUUAGUAGCAUGAUAACUCAACCUCACCAGAUAUUAACAGUUCAUCAGGUCAGGCAAUAGAACAAGUC